rnacentral:lncRNA from 1 species
AUGUUCAGUUCUAAAGUGGGUAUGUUUCUGCAGCUGGAUCAGGUCUGGAAUAUUCCUAGAACUAAUUCUCAGGUUCCGAGCCCGAUGAUAAUUACUGACCUACUCGAAAUUGUGGAGCAAGGAAAUUCUGUCUCAAAACAUGCUGGGAACUUGGCCAGACGCUGUUACAUGACCUGCUGGGUUGGGAACUGUUUCCUAGCAAUGGUACAAAGACCUAGAGUUCCGGAUUCUCCACCACCAACUCAGCUGUCAUCCUGCACACCUCUGACCCCAUCACCAUCUCAGCUGUCAUCCCGCACACCUCUGACCCCAUCACCAUCUCAGCUGUCAUCCUGCACACCUCUGACCCUCUCUCAGUUGUCACCCUGCACAACUCCGACCCCACCACCAACUCACCUGUCAUCCCGCACACCUCUGACCCCAUCUCAGCUGUCAUCUUGCACACCUCUGACCCCAUCUCAGUUGUCAUCCUGCACACCUCUGACCCCAUCUCAGCUGUCAUCUUGCACACCUCUGACCCCAUCUCAGUUGUCAUCCUGCACACCUCUGACCCCAUCUCAGCUGUCAUCCUGCACACCUCUGACCCUAUCACCGUCUCAGCUGUCAUCCUGCACACCUCUGACCCCAUCUCAGCUGUCAUCCCGCACACCUCUGACCCCAUCUCAGCUGUCAUCCUGCACACCUCUGACCCCAUCUCAGCUGUCAUCCCGCACACCUCUGACCCCAUCUCAGCUGUCAUCCUGCACACCUCUGACCCUAUCACCGUCUCAGCUGUCAUCCUGCACACCUCUGACCCUAUCUCAGCUGUCACCCUGCACACCUCUGACCCUAUCACUGUCUCAGCUGUCAUCCCGCACACCUCUGACCCUAUCACCAUCUCAGCUGUCAUCCCGCACGCCUCUGACCCCAUCUCAGCUAUCAUCCCGCACACCUCUGACCCCAUCUCAGC